UUAAUUAGACCUACACAUGCAAGUUUCCGCCCACCUGUGAGAAUGCCCUCAAAACUAAUUCAAUUUAAGUUAAAAGGAGCUGGUAUCAGGCACACUUAAAGUAGCCCAUUACACCUUGCUUUACCACACCCCCACGGGAAACAGCAGUGACUAACAUUAAGCCAUGAACGAAAGUUUGACUAAGUCAUAAUUACUUAGGGUUGGUAAAUUUCGUGCCAGCCACCGCGGUCAUACGAUUAACCCAAAUUAAUAGAUUCACGGCGUAAAGCGUGUUUAGACAACUCCCUAUAAUAAAGUUUAUAUCUAACCAAACUGUAAUACGUUAUAGUUAGCACUAAAAUAAACCACUAAAGUGACUUUAAUACUGUUGAACACACGAAAGCUAAGACACAAACUGGGAUUAGAUACCCCACUAUGCUUAGCCAUAAACCUAAGUUAAUUCAACAAACAAAAUAACUCGCCAGAGAACUACUAGCUAAUGCUUGAAACUCAAAGGACUUGGCGGUGCCCUAAACCCAUCUAGAGGAGCCUGUUCUAUAAUCGAUAAACCCCGAUAUACCUAACCCCUUCUUGCCAAUUCAGUCUAUAUACCGCCAUCGUCAGCCUACCCCAACAGGGAUAAAAAGUAAGCAAAAUCAUUAACCAUAAAAACGUUAGGUCAAGGUGUAACAAAUGAAGGGGGAAGUAAUGGGCUACAUUCUCUAGUUUAGAGAAUAAACGAAUCAUCUAAUGAAAUAAGAUGCCUGAAGGAGGAUUUAGUAGUAAAUUAAGAAUAGAGUGCUUAAUUGAAAUAGGCAAUAGGGCGCGCACACACCGCCCGUCACCCUCCUCAACCAUUAUAAUCAUUAUAACUAAUUAAUAACAAUAUGAUAAAGAGGAGAAAAGUCGUAACAUGGUAAGUGUACUGGAAAGUGCACUUGGAUUA
rnacentral:ncRNA from 1 species